GCCCGGGCUGCGCCGACCGCCGGCCCCGAGCCGCCGCGGGCCCCGAGGAGUCGGCCGAGCUGCUCCCGCGCCCUGGCCGGGGACUUACCAAUUUGGGAUUCUUCCAGGAGCUGAAAACUGAUUACAAAUAUGAAACAGAUUUCACUACAGGACUUGAACCCUACAUUAAAAAACAACAAGCUCUCCAAAAUAAUUGAAAAAGAUCUUCACCAAAGAGUAGCUGCAAUGUGAAUGGCAGGAUAUGAAGCAAGUAAGAGAUGGUGAAAAGAUUAUCUUAAGCUUGGAAUUAAGUGAUGAAAGGGACCUUAGAAAUGAUCAACUCUAAAUACUUCUUUACAGGAAAAUUGAAAGCAGUUAAGAACCUGCCCCCUGCCAUGGAGUUCUUGGUGCCGUGAGUUGGAGUUUUUGGUGCCUGGGUGCAUCCCCAAGGCCACUGGUCUUCAGAUGUUUCUUACUUGAGAAGAACGCCUCCGCCUCCUGGCUCUCCCACCAGUGGUACUGCUACCACCACACACCAGCAUAAAGCACAGAUUGCUGCCCAGCUCCUUGGAGAGGGGCCAGUGCAUUUGUCAGGAAUUGAAAAGUUUUGGAGCCAGUUCGAGGACUUUCUGCUGCACAAAGUGUUGGCUGGAAGCAUGAUUAUCUCACACAGAGCUGUUGGAAUUACUUCGUGAUGAUUUCAA
rnacentral:lncRNA from 1 species